AAUAUUUGACAAUUGGCGCAAGCCUGAUCCAGCCAUGCCGCGUGAGUGAAGAAGGCCCUAGGGUUGUAAAGCUCUUUCACCCGCGACGAUGAGGACGGUAGCGGGAGAAGAAGCCCCGGCUAACUCCGUGCUAGCAGCCGCGGUAAUACGGAGGGGGCAAGCGUUGUUCGGAUUUACUGGGCGUAAAGGGCGCGUAGGCGGAUGUUCGCGUCAGAGGUGAAAGCCCCGGGCUCAACCUGGGAACUGCCUUUGAAGCGGGACAUCUUGAGUUCGGAAGAGGGUAGCGGAACUCCCAGUGUAGAGGUGAAAUUCGUAGAUAUUGGGAAGAACACCAGUAGCGAAGGCGGCUACCUGGUCCGACACUGACGCUGAGGCGCGAAAGCGUGGGGAGCAAAC
rnacentral:rRNA from 1 species